ensembl:lncRNA
UGAUGUUUUCUUGAUUGUUGUUUUCCUUGCUUGCAGGUGGUCUUCCCAACCCAGGGACCCAACACACAUCUCCUGCAAGUCUCCUGCAUUGCAGGGGAAUUCUUUGCUGCUGAGCUACCAGGAAACACUCAUUGCAUGUUCUUGGAGCUCUUGUCAAAUAGCUGACAUCUCUGCCGCCCACACCCACACCCUGCGGUCUGUGCUGCCAACGGCAUCUCCUCCGCGACUCUAAGCUCGGCGGCUGCCAUCUUCCCCGUGGACAUCACUGCAGGCCCAUCACCGUCUGGCACAGUCUCUCCUGCCAUGUCUGCCACAGAGGAGCACGACUGGAUGCCAGUUCCGGUCCCAAAGUCUGUAUUAUACUUCACGAAAGAAGCGAGUGAUUAUCAGUAUGAAGAGUCUGAUGAAGAGGUCCAAGAAGCUGAAGGUGAGGAGGAGGACAGCGAUAAAAAACCAGAAGAAGGACCUGGAAAGGACCUGGACCCAGCAGAGGACAGCCCCGGAGAACCCAGCUGUCAAGCAUAGAAAGACAUGAUGGAGGAAGAAACAAUGGACGUGUCCCUCACGAAUGAGAUUUUCGGCUUCUCAGUAGCCAGUGGGAAUUUUAUCAACACUGGUUUUGUUCCAGAUUUCAUCAUGUGAAAUGUCUUAUCCACUGACAUCUGACUUUUUUUCUUACAUUUGUCAGAUAUAUUUGACUGCGUUUGUUCAUGAUAAAAAUAAAAAUUUGCUAGCCAUGGAUAAGCCGCAGAUUUUUCUGAUGUGUAACACUGAUGCAAAUCUUGUAUCUUUUUGUUUUUG